rnacentral:rRNA from 1 species
UCUUCGCAGCUACACAUGCAGUCGAGCGGUACAGGAGAAGCUUGCUUUCUUGCUGACGAGCGGCGGACGGGUGAGUAAUGUAUGGGGAUCUGCCCGAUAGAGGGGGAUAACUACUGGAAACGGUGGCUAAUACCGCAUAAUGUCUACGGACCAAAGCAGGGGCUCUUCGGACCUUGCACUAUCGGAUGAACCCAUAUGGGAUUAGCUAGUAGGUGGGGUAAAGGCUCACCUAGGCGACGAUCUCUAGCUGGUCUGAGAGGAUGAUCAGCCACACUGGGACUGAGACACGGCCCAGACUCCUACGGGAGGCAGCAGUGGGGAAUAUUGCACAAUGGGCGCAAGCCUGAUGCAGCCAUGCCGCGUGUAUGAAGAAGGCCUUAGGGUUGUAAAGUACUUUCAGCGGGGAGGAAGGUGAUAAGGUUAAUACCCUUAUCAAUUGACGUUACCCGCAGAAGAAGCACCGGCUAACUCCGUGCC